UUUGAACCCCUCUCUUCAUUCAUAUUAGAUCAUUGCUUACCUAGCCAAAUGAUUGAGAUCAAAUGCCCAUUUGUGAGAAUUCACUUUGUGUGUGUGUGUGUGUGAAUCAAUGUGAGAGCUGGUUGAAGGGACUUGCUAGUUGAUGAGUAUUGCAACUUGUGUAGAGGCAUAAGAGUAAGGAUAGGCCUAGAGAAGCUAGAGUAUAAUAAGAGAGUUGCUCAUGCUAU
rnacentral:lncRNA from 1 species